rnacentral:tRNA from 1 species
GGGGCUGUAGCUCAGUGGGAGAGCACACGACUGAAGCUCGUGGUGUCGCAAGUUCGAUUCUUGCCAGCCCCA